ACGGGAGGCAGCAGUAGGGAAUAUUGCACAAUGGGGGAAACCCUGAUGUAGCGACGCCGCGUGAGUGAUGAAGUAUUUCGGUACGUAAAGCUCUAUCAGCAGGAAAGAUAAUGACGGUACCUGACUAAGAAGCCCCGGCUAACUACGUGCCAGCAGCCGCGGUAAUACGUAGGGGGCAAGCGUUAUCCGGAUUUACUGGGUGUAAAGGGAGUGUAGGUGGCGUGGCAGGUCAGAUGUGAAAGCCCGCGGCUCAACCGCGGGACUGCAUCUGAAACUGUCAUGCUAGAGUGCAGGAGAGGAAAGUGGAAUUCCUAGUGUAGCGGUGAAAUGCGUAGAUAUUAGGAGGAACACCAGUGGCGAAGGCGGCUUUCUGGACUGUUACUGACACUGAGGCUCGAAAGCGUGGGGAGCAAACAGGAUUAGAUACCCUGGUA
rnacentral:rRNA from 1 species